CGAACGAACGCUGGCGGCAGGCCUAACACAUGCAAGUCGAGCGCCCGCAAGGGGAACGACGGACGGGUGAGUAACGCGUGGGAACGUGCCCUUUGCUACGGAAUAGCCUCGGGAAACUGGGAGUAAUACCGUAUGUGCCCUUCGGGGGAAAGAUUUAUCGGCAAAGGAUCGGCCCGCGUUGGAUUAGGUAGUUGGUGGGGUAAUGGCCUACCAAGCCGACGAUCCAUAGCUGGUUUGAGAGGAUGAUCAGCCACACUGGGACUGAGACACGGCCCAGACUCCUACGGGAGGCAGCAGUGGGGAAUCUUAGACAAUGGGCGCAAGCCUGAUCUAGCCAUGCCGCGUGAGCGAUGAAGGCCUUAGGGUUGUAAAGCUCUUUCGUGGGGGAAGAUAAUGACUGUACCCCAAGAAGAAGCCCCGGCUAACUCCGUG
rnacentral:rRNA from 1 species